GACGAACGCUGGCGGCGUGCUUAACACAUGCAAGUCGAACGGAAAGGCCCUGCUUGCAGGGUACUCGAGUGGCGAACGGGUGAGUAACACGUGGGUGAUCUGCCCUGCACUUCGGGAUAAGCCUGGGAAACUGGGUCUAGUACCGGAUAGGAGCCAUUUUUAGUGUGAUGGUUGGAAAGUUUUUUCGGUGUAGGAUGAGCUCGCGGCCUAUCAGCUUGUUGGUGGGGUAAUGGCCUACCAAGGCGGCGACGGGUAGCCGGCCUGAGAGGGUGGACGGCCACAUUGGGACUGAGAGACGGCCCAGACUCCGACGGGAGGCAGCAGUGGGGAAUAUUGCACAAUGGGCGCAAGCCUGAUGCAGCGACGCCGCGUGGGGGAUGACGGCCUUCGGGUUGUAAAAUCCUUUCGCUAGGGACGAAGCUUUUUGUGACGGUACCUAGAUAAGAAGCACCGGCUAACUACGUG
rnacentral:rRNA from 1 species